rnacentral:rRNA from 1 species
CGCCUCUUGAUUAAUUAUAAGAGGUCCAGCCUGCCCAGUGACAAAGUUCAACGGCCGCGGUACCCUAACCGUGCGAAGGUAGCAUAAUCACUUGUUCUUUAAAUAAGGACUAGUAUCAACGGCACCACGAGGGCUAUACUGUCUCCUUUCUCCAAUCAGUGAAACUGAUCUCCCCGUGAAGAAGCGGAGAUUAAUAUAUAAGACGAGAAGACCCCAUGGAGCUUUAAACUCACCAUACACCUCUAUUUAUCUUCAUCACUAUACCUUUAAAGGCUUGUAUGCUAGUUUUAGGUUGGGGGGACCGCGGAGUAAAAUUUAACCUCCACGACAAAUGGGCCAUGCCCUUAUCUAAGAACUACAGUUCUAAGAAUCAAUAAACUGAUGUUUAAUGAUCCGAGUAAUCGAUCAACGAACCAAGUUACCCUGGGGAUAACAGCGCAAUCUACUUCAAGAGCCCCUAUCGACAAGUAGGUUUACGACCUCGAUGUUGGAUCAGGGUACCCCAGUGGUGCAGCCGCUACUAAAGGUUCGUUUGUUCAACGAUUAAAACCCU